AGAAGUUUCGUUGAUACUUGAUAGCAUUCGUCUUCCAAUAUCCUACUCCUCUGUUCACAAGUGGUUGACCUCCUUAUUUUAUGCUCUCUCUCUCUCUCUGCUUGCGCUCCCCAGCCUUACUAAGCAGCCAUCCGUCUCUCCUUGCUCUCCGUUGAGGAAAUGAUUUGGAAUCCAGUGAUUUCCCUCGCAUCCAAACUUGCCGAGUAUCUUUUUUCGCCCAUCGGGCGUCAGAUCGGUUAUGUGUUCAACCACAAAAGCAACAUACAGGAGCUGAAAGUUCAAUCUGAUAAGCUGCAAGGUGAAAGACAGAGUGUGCAGCACCGCGUGGAUGAGGCUAAAAGACAUGGGGAAGAAAUUGAAGACAUGGUAGACAAGUGGCUGAAAAGUGUGGAUGAUGCUACUUUAGAGGUAGACAAAAUUCUACACGAUAAUGACACGGCAAACAUGAAGUGCUUCAUGGGAUUGUGUCCCAAUUUGAAGAUGCGUCACCAGCUCAGUAAGAAAGCUAAGAAGAAGAAGAAGGUGGUUGUCCAAAUACAAGCAGAAGGGAAAUUUGAUAGAGUUUCCUACCAUACCUCUCCACCUUGGACUGGGCCUGCCAAAGGUUACGAGGUCUUUGAAUCAAGAACUUUAGUUUUAAAGGAAAUCGUGGAGGCAUUAAAGGAUGAUGAAGUUAAUAUGAUUGGGGUGUAUGGGAUGGGAGGCGUUGGUAAGACCACCUUUGUGAAAGAGGUUGCCUCUCAAGUCAUGGAAGAGGGCAUAUUCAGAAAGGUGGUUACAGCAACAGUAACCCACAUGGCUGAUAUAAAAAGAAUCCAACAAGAAAUUGCAGAGUGGUUAGGUUGCAGACUGGUUGAGGAGACCGUUAGGGUACGAGCAACUCGGUUGAGUGAGCAGCUCAAACAAGAGGAGAAAAUUCUCAUAAUUCUGGAUGAUAUUUGGGUGAGAAUCAGACUGGAGGAAAUAGGAAUUCCAUUUGGAAAUGAUCAUAAUAAAGGUUGCAAGAUAUUGAUGACCUCCAGAAAUCAAAAUGUAUUUUUGGAGAUGGAUGUGGUGAGAAUUUUCCGGCUUGAAGUUUUACAAGAAAAAGAAGCAUGGCAUUUGUUUCAGAAGAAAGUGGGCAAUGUGAAUCAUCCCAAUUUGGCUAUGGAAGUAGCAAAGAGGUGUGCUGGUUUACCUAUUUUAAUUGUGACUGUUGCAACAGCAUUGAAAAAUAAGCAGUUGUUUGAAUGGAAGAAUGCCUUGGAACAACUAAAAAGGUUUGAUGAUAGCGAAAUGGAUGAGCAAGUUACCUCUGCUUUAAAGUUGAGUUACAACUUUUUGAAAGGUGAGGAAAUCAAGUCAUUGUUCUUACUUUGUGGACGGCAUGUAUUUCGUAGCUAUGAAGUUGACAACUUGCUGAAAUAUGCUGUGGGCUUGGGUUUAUUCAAACGAAGCAGAACAUUGGAGGAAGCAAGAAAUAGACUUCAUAAAUAUGUUAGUGACCUCAAAGCUUCUUGUUUGCUGCUAGAAGGCAUCCAUGAAGGAGACGUCAUGAUGCAUGAUGUUGUUCGCAAUUUUGCAAUCUCUGUUGCAUCCACAGAUCAUCAUGUCUUCAUUUUAGCAUAUGACACUGUAUUGGAAUGGCCGUCAAAGGAUGAGCUUGAACGGUGCUCUGCAAUAUAUUUGCGCCAAUGUGAGAUUCCUGAGCUUCCUGCAGCAUUUGAAUGCCCAAAACUGGAGUCAUUUCUACUGGAUAAUUAUCUAUUGGAUGGUCAGAAUGCCUUUUUGAAAAUCCCAGAUGACUUUUUUAGUACAAUGAAAGAACUAAAAGUCUUGGAUCUGACAGGAUUGCAUUUAUCAUCUCUGCCUUCUUCACUUAAAUUUCUUCAGAACCUUCAAACAUUAUGUCUGGAUUAUUGUGUUCUGGAAGACAUAGCUGCAAUCGGAGAGCUUAACAACUUACAAGUUCUCAGCCUUUUGGGCUCUAAUAUUGUUCAGCUGCCAAGAGAAAUAGGGAAAUUGACUCGUCUAAGGCUUUUAGAUUUAGGCGAUUGCUCAAGCCUUGAAGUGAUUCCGCCAGAUGUCCUGUCAAGCUUGACUCGAUUAGAGGACUUACAUAUGGGACGCAGUUUUGUGCAGUGGGAGGGUGAAGAACAUGAUGCUCAAAGAGAAAAUGCUAACCUGGCGGAAUUGAAGCUUUUAACAAACCUACUCACUUUGGACAUACAUAUCAUUGAUGAAAAGAUCCUUCCCAGAGAUUUGUUCUUUGAAAAGCUGGAAAGAUUUAAAAUAGUCAUCGGAGACAUAUGGGAUUGGUCAUGUAAAGAUGAAACUUCAAGAAUGUUGAAACUCAAGCUCAACACAGGCUUUCAGUUGGAAAGCAUGAAACUUCUCCUGAAGAGAACUGAAUAUUUAUAUUUGGAUGACUUGAGAGGUGUGAAAAAUGUCCUCUGUGAAUUAAAUGGGCUAGGUUUUCCUGAGUUGAAACAUCUGCGCGUCCAAAAUAGUCAUGAAAUUCAAUAUAUCAUUGACUCAGUUAGGCUAGGACCACUGGUUUUUUUCCCUAUAUUGGAAUCAUUGUUCCUUGACCAUCUAAUUAACUUGGAGAAGAUAUGUUGUGGUGCUCUUGAGGCCAACUCUUUUAGCAGCUUAAGAAAGUUAAAUGUGAAGCACUGUGAUAAUUUGAAACAUCUCUUUUCAUUCUCUAUGGCUAGAGGCCUUGCACGACUAGAAGAACUCAAUGUUAGCAAUUGCAAACUCAUGGAAGGGAUUGUUGCGAGGGAAAUCGGAGAUGAUUCUGGCAAUGAUGUAGUCAUUGAGUUUACUCAAUUACACGCAAUGACACUAGAAUACCUACCUAAAUUCACAAGUUUUAUCUCCCAAGUCCAGGUUCCUUUUACUAAUGCAGGAUCUGAAGAAAUUGUAUCUGCAGAUCAUGAACCCGAAAUUCUCGUUCCAAUUUUCAAUAGAAAGAUUACAUUCCCCAAUUUGGCAGAGCUGAAACUCUCUUCAGUAAGUUUGGAGAAGAUAUGGAGCAACCAACUUACACAACUAUCUCCGCGUUUAACAAUCUUGGAGGUUGAUGGAUGUGAGAAUUUAAACUAUGUAUUUCCGUCUUCUGUAGUUGAAAGUCUGGCACAACUCAAAAGCCUAGAGAUAUGCAAUUGCAAGUCAGUGGAAGAAAUAAUAGCUCCACAAAGAUUAGGAGAAGAAACAGUGAUCAAGAUUCUAUUUCCAAAACUAGGCCUGCUAAAGCUCAGUGGUCUUCCAAAACUGACAAGUUUUUUCAGUGGUAACUCGAUUGAAUUCCCAUCUUUGAAAGUCCUGAUGAUAGGCCAUUGUGCCGAAUUGAGGACAUUUAUUUCCAGUUCUGAAAGUACCGACGUGGCAUCUAGUAGUGAAUUUGGACAAGAAGACUCAAUUCUUUUUGACGAAAAGGUUGCUUUCCCCGACUUGGAGAAGUUGCAUAUUAGGUUCUUUCCUAAGUUGAAAAUGAUAUGGCGUGAUCAUAUCCAAGCAAAUUCAUUCUGCAAGUUAGAAUUACUGGAGGUAGUAGCUUGCGAAGAGUUAUUGCAAAUCUUUCCCUCCAACAUUCUGAGAGGAUUCCAGAAAUUAGAAUGUCUAUGUGUAGCGAAUUGUCGUUCACUAAAAGAGGUGUUUGAUCUUCAAAUGUCGACAAACGUAAAAGAGAUGCAUGUUGAAGCGGCAGCCACUAAAUUGAGGAUUUUGAAAUUAAUGAACCUCCCAGUUAUGAAGCAUGUAUGGAAUGAGGAUCCUCAAAAAAUUCUCUCGUUUGCUAACCUAAGUUCAGUGGAUGUUUCCAGAUGUCCUAGUCUGAAUAGUCUCUUCCCACCUUCAAUUGCAAAAAAUCUUCCACGACUUGCAGAGACAAUUAUUAAUGAUUGUGGGUUGGUGGAAAUUGUUUCAAAGGAGGAAGGAUUAGAAGCAACUCCCAAGUUUGUGUUUCGUCAACUGAAGUCCUUGAAACUUUGGAGAUUGCAAAAAUUAAGGAGCUUCUACCCUGGAGUACAUGCUUUUGAGUGUCCCAUGCUGAAGUGCUUGAGAGUGGGUCACUGUGACAAUUUUAAAAUUUUUGCUUCUCAAUUUCAGGAGUUGCAAGAAACACAAGUGGAGAUUCAACCUUUAAGAAAGGUUAUUUCCAACUUGGAGGAAUUAACAUUAAGCAGCAACGAGAUCACAAUGAUAUGGCAAGGCCAGUUUGAAGACCGCUUUGACAAGCUAAAAGUUCUUGGCCUAUAUUGCUUUCAUGAUGCUUCAACAGAUUUCCCAUUCAAUCUCCUUCGAAAAUUCCCAAAUACGGAAAAACUUCAUGUGGUAUGCUCUGAUUUUAAUGAGAUAUUCCCAUAUGGUUUUGUUGUUGAAGAGUAUGCAAGGGCUUUUGCACAGAUACGACACUUAAGGCUGGAUUUCUUUCCCAAAAUGAAGCACAUAUGGAAUCCUGAAUCUCGACAUGUCCAAGUUCUUCAAAAUCUUGAAUCCCUGGAAAUAUGGAAUUGCGACAGUUUGGUUACCUUGGCACCACAUUCUGCAUCUUUCCAAAAUCUUACUACUCUAGAUGUGUGGCAGUGUGAAAUAUUAGUGAGCAUAAUAACAUCCUCCACAGCUAAAGAGAUGGUGAAUCUCACCAAAAUGAGUGUAAGAGAAUGCAAUAAGGUAACAGAAAUUGUAGUGAAUGGUGGAGAUGAAGAUCAACAACAAAGUGAGAUUGUUUUCAGCAAACUGAAAAGUAUAACGCUUCAUUGUUUAGAAAGCCUCACCAGCUUCUGCUCAAUGACAAGUUGCACCAUCAAAUUCCCAUCUUUGGUAGCACUAGCUGUGACACAUUGCCCCAGGAUGAGUGUUUUUGCUCGUGGAGUUGUAAGCGUACCAAGGCUACCGAAAGCAAUUCCAAUGGGAGAACGAGGUAAAAUGAUUUGGAAGAAGGACAUUAACGACACAAUAAAUCACUUGCAUAAACAAAGGAAUGCUCAGCUUUCUGAACAAGAAUGAUGCCCUACAUUGGCGCUUCAAGAAGCAGAGGUGAGCUGCAAUUUGGCUGCUUCAUGCAUCUCUCGACUUACAUGCAUUGAGUUUUAUCAAUAAAUGAAUGCUCAGCUUUCUGAACCAAAAUGAUGCAUGCCAUUGCCAUUGGACGCCCUCUAAUUGCAGGCUUGCAGCCAGCAUGCUGUUUCAUGCACAGAUUUUGGGAUCCGAUUCACAUUAUCUCUCUGGCUUGCUAGGUUUUUCCUUCACAAAAAAUUCACUUCAGCUGUAAUUUUUAUAUUCUUGUUGUGCACUGUGAUAAUAUAUGACAACUAAUAUAGACAAAAGAUGGCAGAAGACAAAUAUUUUGAAUCCAACACUUUAAUUAUUUUAUUAUAUUAUAUCCUUUUUUAUUUAGGCUUCA